CGCCCGACUCAGGAGCCAGCCCCCGCCCCUUAUUCCCUGCCCCAGGAUCCCGGCCCUUCCUGGGAGCCGGACUGGACUCGGUCCUCAGAUCCUCGGAAGGCUCAGCUCUGGGCGGGGCAAGGAGCCCUGGAAGGGCGCGGGCCUCGGGAACUUCUCUCUGCCAGCUGGGACUAGGGGCUGGGAACAGGGGAGACGACCCAGGGCCACGGCCCCUCGGGACUUCAGGCGGCCGGAGGUCGUGGGGGCGAAGCCGAGUCGGGAGCCGGGCUUCCGGCCCUUGCUACCCCGUCUGGGCCCGCGGGUUGCCCACGCGCCCGUCCCCACCCAGCGGCUAGAGUUACUUGUUAUUGGUAAAUAGCCACUAUGGAGACUAAAGACCAGAGGAAACACAGGAAGAAAUUUUACAGAAAGAAAAACAGUGGGCCCAAAGCUGAAAAGAAAAAGAAGCGGCAUCUGCAGGACCUGCAGCUAGGAGAUGAAGAAGAUGCCCGGAAGAGAAUGCUGUGCGGGUGGCUCGAUCCUUUCACAGGAGUCAGGAUUUGAAGACAAAAAAGCAUCAUAUUCCAGUGGUUGAUUGAACUCCACUAGAGCCCCCACCAAUAGUGGCCAUGGUGACGGGGCCUCCAAAGUUGGAAAGAGCACUUUGAUACAAUGCCUCAUUCGGAACUUCACCCGGCAGAAGUUGACCGAGAUCAGAGGCCCUGUGACGAUCGUGUCAGAGGUAAAAAGCGCAGACUCGCCAUUAUUGAAUGUGGGUGUGACAUUAACAUGAUGAUUGAUCUGGCUAAAGCUGCAGAUCUGGUACUGAUGCUUAUAGAUGCCAGCUUUGGGUUUGAAAUGGAAACCUUUGAGUUUCUAAACAUCUGUCAAGUAUAUGGCUUUCCUAAAAUUAUGGGAGUUCUCACCCACCUCGACUCCUUCAAGCAUAAUAAGCAACUGAAGAAGACAAGCGAUUAAAACACACGUUCUGGACAGAAGUUUACCCGGGUGCCAAGCUGUUCUACCUUUCUGGAAUGAUGCAUGGAGAAUAACAAAACGAAGAAAUCCACAAUCUGGGCCAUUUUAUUACAGUUAUGAAGUUUAGGCCUUUCACAUGGCAGGCUUCUCACCCUUAUAUCCUGGCAGACAGCUAAGCUAGCCUCCAAAGCUGGAAGCUGAAUUGACCGUUGAAAAAUAAUGACAUGUAUACAAGGUGUGUUUGGAGGAUUGCAGAUGCAGGGGCACUGUACUGCUAAAGGAGUGUUGGAAGCUCACUGCAGAAGAUGAUAAAAGCAGACUGAUGUGUAUUACCUGCUGAAAUGUAAGCUGGAGGCACAGGUGAAGAUUACUAAACCUAAUGAGCAGUUUGGCAGAUAAGACAGGCUGUCAGGCCGUGGCAGUUCAGCAGUGGGCGUGCUACGCCUGGGAACCAAGUCAUUUGUUCCAGAGGCCUACACUUAAAUACCACCAGUAAAAUCUUCCUUGUCACUGAUACUUGGUAUCACAAUGAAACAGAUACUAUCUUUCAGAUUUCCGGUUGAAUUACCAGCCAUUAACAUCUGGUGAUUUGUGUUGUAAAAUUAUUUUUAGUUUUGCCUGUUCACAUUUCACCUAUAAAGCACAAACAAGAUACAUUUUCCCACAUGAGAAUGUAAGCAGUAUAAGACUUUAAAACACACUAAUGAAAUGUACAUGGUUACAUCCUUCAAUAAACUAAAACUUUCAUCUGUGAUCUUUAUUUUGCAACACUCUGAAGUAACAUUACAGUGUUUUCAGUGUGCUGUGUCAUUUAUAUCCCUUACUUUAUCCUAGGAAUCCUGUAUUGCCAUUGAGCAUAUGAAAAUUGAGACAUGUGCAUAGCUUCUCCCAGUUGAGCCCGUCAGUGGGGAGGAGCUAUGUACCGGGGACAUUUGCAAAGAUUUUCAUGAGUCUGUUGGAUAUAACAGCUUCUUAAGGAAACCUCACAGUUUACCUUCCCUGUUUUUUUUUACCAUUUGUAAACUAAGGCUCAGUGAUGUAAAAUAUAACACAUUCUGUGCUGUGGCAUAACUGCAGCUUAGGUUUUCAUAUUCAAGACAAGCACAAGUAUAGCUGGAAAGGUAUGAACACUUAUUAUGCCUCAGAUUCCUCUGUUGGUUUAGUUGGGGCAUUUCCAAACAGCUGACUUGGGGCUAAAGCAUCUUUCUAUCUGGCAUCAGUAUUUCUAAGUUGCCUUUAAGCUUAAUAAACGUUUGGUUUUUAUAUUUCAUUGCUUCAAUGUGGAACACUGCAAUUAAAAAAAAUCACAUAUAUGUAGUGUAUAUAGUAUUGUAUAUGUAAUAUAGUAUUUUACACUAAGUAAUAGUGACUGGCAGUUCAUUGGUUGAAGAAGUCUUAUUUUUCAGAUAUUCCGCUCUGUGUCAUCAGCUGUAGACACUGACCUGGUAUUUAUCUGGAAGGGCUGUCAGGAGUUCACAGUGCUGCCUGUGGGUUAUCUCCAGACCCUUUACAUAUGGCACUUUAGGACAGGGUGAGUCACAGGUUGCACGAGAAGUUGCCUUUGAAACUAGACCUGAGGGGGCGGGGCUGGAGGCUCGGGUGCUGCCUCCUCUGCAACGCCGGGGCCAGAGUCUUAAAACCGAGGGCCCACAGGGGUCCCCGCGGCCGCCGCGAUGCAGAAAUACGAGAAACUGGAAAAGAUUGGGGAAGGCACCUACGGAACAGUGUUCAAGGCCAAAAACCGGGAGACUGAUGAGAUCGUGGCUCUGAAACGGGUGAGGCUGGAUGACGAUGAUGAGGGUGUGCCGAGUUCUGCCCUCCGGGAGAUCUGCCUACUCAAGGAGCUGAAGCACAAGAACAUCGUCAGGCUUCAUGAUGUCCUGCACAGCGACAAGAAGCUGACUUUGGUUUUUAAAUUCUGUGACCAGGACCUGAAGAAGUAUUUUGACAGUUGCAAUGGUGACCUUGAUCCUGAGAUUGUAAAGUCAUUCCUCUUCCAGCUACUGAAAGGCCUGGGAUUCUGUCAUAGCCGCAAUGUGCUACACAGGGACCUGAAGUCCCAGAGCCUGCUAAUAAACAGGAAUGGGGAGCUGAAAUUGGCUGAUUUCGGCCUGGCUCGAGCCUUUGGGAUCCCUGUCCGCUGUUACUCAGCUGAGGUGGUCACACUGUGGUACCGCCCACCGGAUGUCCUCUUUGGGGCCAAGCUGUACUCCACAUCCAUCGACAUGUGGUCAGCCGGCUGCAUCUUCGCAGAGCUGGCCAAUGCUGGGCGGCCUCUUUUUCCUGGCAAUGAUGUUGAUGACCAGUUGAAGAGGAUCUUCCGGCUGCUGGGGACGCCCACCAAGGAGCAGUGGCCCUCUCUGACCAAGCUGCCAGACUAUAAGUCCUACCCGAUACAGGUGGUCGUGAUCGUCUGCGCUGUGGGGCGCUAUUAUUCCAGAGCAAAUGCUGGAGCCAGACUGACUCUAUGGAAAUGCACAAGGACAUGGGCUGUGGUGAUGGGCGCCCUCAGUCAGGCACCAGCUGUCCUGCGUUCCUGGCUUCCACCUCUGGGGCAGCUCCCCGACAUUCUCCAAAACACCCAAGGACUCUCCAGGCCAUACCUCACUGACAGCAGCUUUGCUAUCCCGCUGGCCUCAAUCCCAGAAAAACUUCAAGAGAACAAGGCCCACGAUUUUAAAAGGGCUAAGACUAAUGUUACAGAAAAUGGACUGUAA